rnacentral:rRNA from 1 species
GUACACUCCUGCGGGAGGCAACAGUGGGGAAUAUUGGACAAUGGGCGCAAGCCUGAUCCAGCCAUGCCGCGUGAGUGAUGAAGGCCCUAGGGUUGUAAAGCUCUUUCACCGGUGAAGAUAAUGACGGUAACCGGAGAAGAAGCCCCGGCUAACUUCGUGCCAGCAGCCGCGGUAAUACGAAGGGGGCUAGCGUUGUUCGGAUUUACUGGGCGUAAAGCGCACGUAGGCGGACUAUUAAGUCAGGGGUGAAAUCCCGGGGCUCAACCCCGGAACUGCCUUUGAUACUGGUAGUCUUGAGUUCGAGAGAGGUGAGUGGAAUUCCGAGUGUAGAGGUGAAAUUCGUAGAUAUUCGGAGGAACACCAGUGGCGAAGGCGGCUCACUGGCUCGAUACUGACGCUGAGGUGCGAAAGCGUGGGGAGCAAACAGGAUUAGAAACCCGAGUAGUCCCAU